rnacentral:lncRNA from 7 species
UGGGGCUGAGAGUAGAGUCAAAGGAGCAUGGACACAGGGGGGAGAUGGAGUAGAAUGCAGAAGAGAUGCCAUGUCAAGCAACAAGAUGUUGUAUUUAAUGUGAGCUUCAAACCAUUUUCUUUGAUGACUCUGCGAUAGACUGGAGAUGGCCAGGAGGUUGCAAGAAAACAGAGCAAGGAGGAGAGCUGACGCAAAGAGACCGAUGGGACACUGCAUGCAGAAUGAGGGCAUGAUCAGCAAGAUCAGCUCACAUCAAAGUAGGCGCUGUGAGAAGAGAUCUCCAAAAGAUGUUGGGGGAAGCGCAAUGGACCAUGGCGUGUCCUCGUGUCCCUGCCCUCCUGCUGCUGGUGGUGUGUACUCUCCAGGCUCCACUCCUGUACCUUAACACUUCCAGAGCUCAGGAAGGGGAAAUCGUCGUGGCUCAAUGUGUCCUUCAGAAGCUGGUUCCUGCUGCCCGAAUUGUCUUCUGCAAGGAUGGGAUGGAGCUGUACAGCAUGAAAGCCCAUCAGCAUACGGUCAUCAACUCCAUGCUGAUGAACAUCUCUGCAAGAAGCAGUGGGACAUACGCGUGUGGUACCAGCAGAGGAACGAGAGCAAUUGGCUGAGGAUCUCCUGCCGACCACGAUUCUUACUAUGCCAACGUGGAUGAAAUGAGGAGAGUGAAGGCCUCUGGAAUACACAGCUCUGAAGUUUGUACAUAGGACAGAAUGUCAGAAAGUGAGAGGCGAUCCACCCCUUUCUCUGCAAGAACAAGGGGGAAAGCACAGCAGAGGUGACACUUAUCAAUAAAAGCAUGAAAUCCUUC